ACUGCAGCUGUUUUGUUUGCCGCCUAAUUGUUAAUCAUACCUACACAUCUGCAGACGAUUCAGACUACAAAUUACUAAAAACCAGGAAAGGAAAUUGUAAUUGACUGCCGAAUACUCAAAUCAAGGGAAUUUGGGUAUUGUUUAGACUAGACCUUAUACGUAAGAUGGCGCUACGAGUAUCAAAUUGAGAUAAAACGCCGACGAAGGGCGUCUUAUAACCGGCACCUGAUACACCUACUUACUACCAUUAAAGCAUUGAACUUUAUUAACAGAGGGAUAACAAACACAUCUCAAGAACUUCGUAUCUGUGAUGACGUAGUGUUUAGCCGCUGUGGGUGAAAGUACGCGAGAGGCCAUAUUCCUUCUACGAUUUGGAAAUAGCUCUUCAUCACUGUUCCAACGAUUAACUAAUUGAAAUCGAUUCGUGGUAAUCGGAAAAGUUGUGGGCCGAUUAGCCACGCGUAGGUAAAUAGGUCAGCUUUAAUCAAUCAGUCACCGUUUUGCUUUGUCCAACAAUUUUCUUCUCAUUACUUUUUACGAAUUGUUUUGAAGCCUACAUUGAUUGACACGAAACGCCCCGCAAUAUUUUUUGCUUUACAAUAUUUAAAUCAAUCUAUUUUGGUCAUUAUGCAAAGUUUCACUAAAAGAAAGUUUUCAAUUGAAUGCUCGUAAAUCGUAUCGAAAAUUGCUAAAUGCUAGACUUUUUGCUUAUUAAAUACAAUUUAGUCAAGGAAUAGGUAUUUCAGCUAGUCUAGACUCUAGAAAGCUUUUUCGUUGUGAGACAAUAAAGUGUAUUAGUAGUGGUUUGUAGGUGUGUUAAGGUGAACGCACACCUAGAAGCGUCGCAUGCGCCGAAUCCAUCGCAUUUUCUAUAUCUUUGUAUGAAAUUGUUUGUAAAGUCGCGCACCUAUCCGUGCCGCACGACGCGCAUAGACGAUGUCUUCGGCGCGUGCGGUUCCUGCGGCUGCUGUAUUGAGGCUAGUGAUGUCACAGUAGGUAUUUGUUGUAAAGGGUUGUACGAGAUUUAUGCAUUUUAAUUAUUUUAGACAAUGUAUUUAUAACUUAAGUUACGAGUGACAAUAAAUCGUGUCUUAUCUUGUUAAACAAGUGCUUCCAGUCAAAUAAGUUCUAAUUAAGAUAAAUAAAGUUCAAAUAGCAUUAAGUAGGUUUUAAUUAUAGAUUUAAAGUUUGUGAAACACAGUGUGCCAUAAGAGUUCGAGUUCCUUUUACAUUUUGUAGUUGCUUAUGUAUUUUGUGUGAAACACGUUGAGUUUGUUUAAAG